AUGACAGAUUCCGACAUAGGACACUGCAAUUCGAGACUCGAGAAGAACUCAGAAUCAACUAUUAGCGGAUUUGUUCGUGAUUCUUUUGUCAAGCUGGACAUAACGUAUGCCGACAGUGAUGAUAAGCUGAUUAAGGAGAUAAAAGGAUUAAAAAUGGGGAAACUACUUCCUUUUGGUUUAGCGGGUGGAUUGGUAAUUAAUCCCUUUCAGAAGCCUUUCUGGAACUGUACGGUUUUGCAGUGGCGCCGUUAA